UAUGCUUUAUUAUUCCCUUAGAAAAAGUAAAGCAGGAAAUUUGUAAUCUAUCAAUAUAUAAGAAGAAUUGAAGGUGUUUUUCAGGUAAGUCUUGAGGUAGGUUUUACACAAUCUAUUCUAAGGUGAGUACUAUUGGUUCUUCUAGGUAUUAUUAUGUAUAAUUUUUGUAAACAAUGUUUUAACUGUUUUUCUUCUCCCUAGGAAUCCAUCCUUUCACCGAGAACUGUGAUUGGCCGCUUGUCAUCAAUUCGCUCCACACGCUCUGGACCAAUCCUUCUGGCUUUCCAGUCCUUCAAUUCUCAUAUUUAAAACCCCAUGUGCUAUAAAAUGUCUAUAUAGGACCGUAUCUUCAUUCCCUCUCCUGACUUGGUAUUUAUGUUGUGUAAGGCGAGUUUGCAUGGCGUGUUUAGUUUCCCCUAUGUAUAGUUUUUGGCACCUCGCACACCUAAUGGCAUAGACCGUAUUAGGAGUCCCAAAAGCUAUUUGGUUCCUAAUCGGUACCCCUCUACCUGAAUACCUAUUCCCAAUAUAGGUAUUCCAGUUAAAGUGAUUAUUUUCCUCGGGAGAUACCGCCGGUUUUCCAUUUAGGUUGGAAUGCACCAGUCUAUCCUUGAGAUUCUUGUUUCUCCUAUAUGCAGAAAUUAGUUUAAAACGCCCCAAGUCUCCCAAGUCUGCCUGGGCCUGUUGGAAAUGAAGCCUCAAUUGACCACCCAAACGUCCCAAAGGUUGUGAGUAUGUUGUCACCACAGGUAUCAUUUCUUUAGCUUCCCUCUCCACCACAUACCUUCCAUUCACUUCGAAUAUUGUUCUUACUUCCUGUUUUAUUUCCCUCAGGAACCGCCGAGAGUAACCCCGAGGCCUGAGGGCUUUAAACAGGAUGGAUGUCGCCUCCUCCACAUCACUCAGAUGCCGAAGAUGUCAUCCAGGUACCUAAAGUACAGCGAAGGUAGGUGAGCACACUUUAAAAAGGCUGAUUCCUCCCAGCCACACAUAUAAAGGUUGGCGUAGGCUGGGGCAAAUUUCUUGCCCAUCGCCGUGCCAUGGAUCUGCAAAUAGUGCUUUUUGUUGAACUCAAAAUCAUUACGAGAGAGGCUUAUUUCCAAUAGUUCUAAAAUGUAAUCGUCAGGCCGCCCAGAGACAGGGAAUUUACUAAAAGCAGCUCGAACUGACUGUAAGCCCAGAGUCGUGUCUAUGUUGGUAUAUAGAGAGUUAAUGUCUAUAGAAAAUAGAAAGGCAUCUGCAGAAACUGAAAUAUUCCCAACUUUCUCAACAAAAUCAUACGUGUCUUUAACAAAGGACGCAUGUCUUUGUGAAAGUGGGUUUAUGUGAAAGUCCAGAAAUUCUGCGAUGUUUGAUGACUCCGAACCACAGUCACUAACAAUAGGUCUACCACAAGGAAUUUGACCAGGGACGGUCCACUUAUCCAGGGCUUUAUGUAUCUUCGGCAGCAGAUAGAACAGCCUCGGUCUUGGGACGUCCGGUCCCAACAGGUUGCAUAGAGUGGAGCAGCGGCGCAUAAUGAUUCCUGUUGCGUUUCAAGCAUUCCAGAUCUUUUUGGACAAGGGUUUCAACAGGAGCUGCCACCUCCCGUGGUACCCAACUGGAUGGAUCAGUGAAAGGUACGUGAGGGAAGUGGCUCUCAUAUUUGAAAUGAUCUAAUAAUUUCAAUCUCCUGUGAUAGGUGUGGAGGUCCCUGCGUAGUUCCCUGCGGUCGGGCUGCUUUGGAGUAGGGAUGAAGUUUCAGGUGUCCAGUGGACUGGAUCGUGUUGCAUCACCCGAAAGUGACGCUCUUCCAAAACAGGUGGGGUGUAAGCUUUGCUAUUACCCCUCUCAGAUGUUCACAGUUGGCUCCCGGAAAACUGUCUACUUGGAUGUUAGCAUCUUCAAAGGAUGUCUAACGGGUUCCCUCCGACGGGUGGACGUGGACGGCGGCUGGCAGCACGGAUUCAGGACCCUGUGCAGCCUCUUCAUCUGAGGAGGAAUCCUCCAUUCGGAGAUCAAAAGAGAUGGGGUUUAAAGGUGACCCCUCCAAAACCGUCCCAUUCUCCCUAGGUGUUAAUAGGGCCUCCCUAUAGGUAAGUGGAGUAGUCUUGGUAGUAGAUGUUAUGGAUCCUAUUACCGACUGUCUAACAUUGUGUACUUCCACCACAGUAGACCGUCUCGAGGACCCUGGAGUCAUCCCCCCUUCCCCCCCAGGUAAGUAUUUGUUCCCACGGAUGGGGAUGUCUUGAGGACUCAACUGAGCAACGGAGGACUGCCCAAGGGGAUCCAACACAGGAUGCCCCUGGCUACCUGUUGGAGGUCGUGACCUGCUCAGGUUGGACCUCUGUUUCCUAGGGGCUAGUGUCCCCUGGA